CCAACAUUUCUAACAAGGUGCUGAAAGCAUUCUUUAAAUCAAUGCCACGUAGAAUUAAGGCAGUUCUGAAGGCGAAAGAAUGUUUCAGGCAACCCACUGUAAUUCUGUACAUUCCAGGCACUUGGACAUCUAGCCAGUAGUUCAGAUGCAUGUUGUUACAGCGCUGACUGUAGAUGUAUAUUGAAGUCCUAUAUGAUGCUACUUCAACAGUAACACCAGAGUGUCCUAUAGUAGACAGACAUGGACAAAUACUUAAACUCAACAUGAUUCUAUGGACUUAAUUAAUGGAAAUACCAGGGGCCUCAUUUCUAAAGACGUGGAUAGAUUGAUCCUCUAAAUACAUUCAGUAUGAUAGUUUCCAAAAUCCUCAGUGUUAUUUCGUCGUGCACACAAUAAAAAUUAUACGCCAAUACACACUUCCUACAGACUUAUAUUUGGACUCAGGGAUUCUCUGUCUUGCACCUCUGCCACAAUCUCCUGCUCUCCGAUCUUGGCACUGAAGUGGCAGACAGCAGCAUCAGCCAAUGAACAAGGCCUCCAGGUGGCGCUCUUUCUCAUUCACAUACAGCAGAGUGGAGGAGACUGUGGAGACAUGAUCCUGAACACGGACCUCCACUGAGAUGCUCUUCAGAGGCACUGAGUCACACAAACCAACAGAACAACAACACAUCACAAAACGUCCAUUAGACUCUCUAUAUUAGCAUAAAAACAAGAGUGAACAAGAGCUUUUUGAUAUAUAAUAAAAGAAAUUCUGAAUUUAAGAAGAGCAUGUGGCAUUUGUCAGUUUAAAUAUCUUCACUCAACUAAUACUGGGAUAAAGCCGACAAACUUUGCUGUUUGAAAAACACAUAAUAGCUCUCCAACAUAUAAAUAAAUAAAUACAUUGAGAAACUCGCAGUCCAUCAUUCUCACGCUCAUGAACUGACUAGAUGACCUAACGUUACUUUAAAAGUAGGCUAAGCGAA